AGCGAACGCUGGCGGCAGGCCAACACAUGCAAGUCGAACGAACUCUUCGGAGUUAGUGGCGGACGGGUGAGUAACACGUGGGUACGUGCCUUUAGGUUCGGAAUAACUCAGGGAAACUUGUGCUAAUACCGAAUGUGCCCUUCGGGGGAAAGAUUUAUCGCCUUUAGAGCGGCCCGCGUCUGAUUAGCUAGUUGGUGAGGUAACGGCUCACCAAGGCGACGAUCAGUAGCUGGUCUGAGAGGAUGGCCAGCCACACUGGGACUGAGACACGGCCCAGACUCCUACGGGAGGCAGCAGUGGGGAAUCUUGCGCAAUGGGCGAAAGCCUGACGCAGCCAUGCCGCGUGAAUGAUGAAGGUCUUAGGAUUGUAAAAUUCUUUCACCGGGGACGAUAAUGACGGUACCCGGAGAAGAAGCCCCGGCUAACUUCGUGCCAGCAGCCGCCGUAA
rnacentral:rRNA from 1 species